rnacentral:rRNA from 1 species
GACGAACGCUGGCGGCGUGCUUAACACAUGCAAGUCGAACGGUAAGGCCCUUCGGGGUACACGAGUGGCGAACGGGUGAGUAACACGUGGGUGAUCUGCCCUGCACUUCGGGAUAAGCCUGGGAAACUGGGUCUAAUACCGGAUAGGACCACUGCCUGCAUGGGUGGUGGUGGAAAGCUUUUGCGGUGUGGGAUGGGCCCGCGGCCUAUCAGCUUGUUGGUGGGGUGAUGGCCUACCAAGGCGACGACGGGUAGCCGGCCUGAGAGGGUGACCGGGCCCAAUGGGACGGAGAUACGGCCAAGACUCCUACUGGGGGCAGCAGAAUGGAAUAUUGCGCAAUGGACGAAAGUCUGACGCAGCAACGCCGCGUGGAUGAUGAAGUAUUUCGGUACGUAAAAUCCUUUCGACAGGGAAGAAACGUAGGAGACGUAACUGGCUCUUACCUGACGGUACCUGUAGAAGAAGUCCCGGCUAAC